GAUGAACGCUGACAGAAUGCUUAACACAUGCAAGUCAACUGUGGCGGACGGGUGAGUAACGCGUAAAGAACUUGCCUCACGGAUAGGGACAACAUUCGGAAACGAAUGCUAAUACCUGAUACGUUGAGAGAGCUUUGCGUCCCAUUAGCUAGUUGGAGAGGUAACGGCUCACCAAGGCGAUGAUGGGUAGCCGGCCUGAGAGGGUGAUCGGCACCAAGGGGACUGGGACACGGCCCUUACUCCGACGGGAGGCAGCAGUGGGGAAUAUUGGACAAUUGACCAAAGUCUGAUCCAGCAAUUCUGUUUGCACGAUGAAGUUUUCGGAAUGUAAAGUGCUUUCAGUUGGGAAGCGGUACCAACAGAAGAAGUGACGGCUAACUACGUGCCAGCAGCCGCGGUAAUUC
rnacentral:rRNA from 1 species